rnacentral:lncRNA from 1 species
AGGAAGAGAGAGGAGUUAGGACGAGAGUGCCGCAGGGUCCUCCCACACCAGCAUCCCCUCUUCUGUGGUCCCGGGUGGAUGCUGAGCCAUUGGGUGUCUCUCUCAUCUGCUAAUAGAAAUGGCACCCCGGAGAGCUGGUCUUUUCAUUCCAUUUCUCCCGACCUCCCUCAGCAAAUGCUAAUUGAAUUUCCAGUUCUGUGAGAGAGAACUGGAAUCGGAUUCCCAGGCCCCAGGGAGUGGUGCCUGGCAUAACCACUGCUCUGCAAAACAACGCUGCACUUCUGUGGGUGAAAGUGCAGCCGCUCCAUUGCUUUGCUUUGAAUGAGCACUUUUUCUCGUCAGCUAGAGGUGCCAGGGCAGCCGAGGGGAACUGCCAGCGACAACAGGAGCAACUUCUUUUUCGGCGGGACCCUAGCACACCCCUUGCUACACGCGCCAGCAAAGAGCAAAGCCACGUGUCCAUCCCUGGGGACGUCCCUCCUAUGUGCCAUCUCAUCUGCCACACCAGACAAAUCAAAUGCACAGAGAGCUUUGUCUGCAAACUUUGACUUGAAGGGGUCUUAAAACCAUGCAUUUACACGUUUGGGGGACAAAUAAUUUCGAUGUUUAAAAGAGAGUUGGCAGCUAAUUGAGAUGGUGCACAGGUGUGCUGUGGCCCACGGUGUGGAGGUAGCCAGGCGUGGCCAUCCCUCUAGAAAGAGGAAUGCGUUGGUCACUCAGAAUGUCACUUAGAUCGACGAAGCAGAACUGCACUUUUUUUGCAUUCAAAUUUUUAUUCAAAGUUUAGUCUCUCUCCUUGGGUUUCCCCUCUUUUAUGAAAUGAUCAAUUUUGGCGAAGAGCCCCCAGAAAGCAAGAUAGAAAAGAAAUAUGCUCUUUACCGUGGCCGAUCAGCAACGAACCAACACUGUCCUCAUCUAAUUCUACGUCUUCCACACUGCCCAGUAACACAAAUAACCAGAGCGCAGACGCCAAGAAUCCUUCCAAGUAACGCAGCUAACAGACCAAGCUCAGGAGCCAAAGCUCAGCCAGCCCGAAGGAGCCAGGAUUAGAGCCUGCAUGGAUGCAACAGUCACGCUUCUCUCUAUUACGUGUCUUGCAACUUGGAGUCACAUGAUCUCAGCAUCUGAUCCACCCUGGGCUCAGAACCUCCCAGAACCUCCCAGAAUCGAGGCUCACGGCAGAGGUUCUGCACUCACCAAGGACGCGGGGGGACCAUGUCUGUGCUCAUGUGGAUCCCCGCUGCUGGGCAGAGCACACCACACAUCCAGACUCAACAAAAUACAUGGAGUCAAAGGUCAGGUGACUGAAUCAAUGAGUAUGUUACACACCAAGAAAGACCCCUCCUCUCUGCACCCCGGGGAGCAGCCCCAGAAGCCUGGUCUCCUCCAGGAUGAAAAUGCAAACGCAGGUGCCUGGGGGCUCCCAGAGCCUUUGGCUUCACGGUUCCCUCCCGGCCCUGCCUGGAGCUUCAUGUGCCUCCCCUUUUGCUUAAUGAGAGCCGCUGUCUAAGAGUUAAGGGUUUUCUGGGUGACGUUUAACAAUAAUAAAGGUGACUGCUUAUCUAAGGAAUCCGA